rnacentral:rRNA from 1 species
AAAUUGAAGAGUUUGAUCAUGGCUCAGAUUGAACGCUGGCGGCAGGCCUAACACAUGCAAGUCGAACGGUAACAGGAAGCAGCUUGCUGCUUCGCUGACGAGUGGCGGACGGGUGAGUAAUGUCUGGGAAACUGCCUGAUGGAGGGGGAUAACUACUGGAAACGGUGGCUAAUACCGCAUAACGUCGCAAGACCAAAGAGGGGGACCUUCGGGCCUCUUGCCAUCAGAUGUGCCCAGGUGGGAUUAGCU